AUGGAAAGGCCAGGACUCGGCCACUGCCCCGCGCUCGGCUGUCACCCGGUCCCCGAGGACCAAAGACGCUGGGUUGCGGGGCAGUCCCGUUCUCUUAGGACAGUCCUUGAAUCGGGCCAAGGCUGGGGGUUCGCUGCAUCCUUAUUCCCGGUUCAGCACAUCAUAUGCAGACAGAACAGCCUCCGAUCGUUUCAGAUGCACCUGCCAGGCUCCUGGGAUGCUCGCCAACGUUCAAUUCCAGCUUCACAGACACGGGAAAAUACAGGUGGAGCCUCGUUUAACUUCGCAGAUCCUCCUAUCGGAAAAAUUAACUGCCUCAAGAGGCAGAGGUUUCGUGUGCCCAACACCCUGGCCACGCAGAGCGCUCUGAGCUGUGACAGCAGGGGGCACGCGGCCAAGCAGGAUGGGGCUGCCAGCAGACAGCCCGGGGGGGUAGCCCUAGAACCGGGUGCCCUGGCUGGAGAAGGAGCAGUGGCCGGGGAACCACGGGGCGCUGGGUGGAGAGGAAUCCCCGACCCCGGGGCUGGGGGCUGUGCUGGCUGGUCUGAGGCAGAUACCUCCGCGGAUGUGGGAGCCCCUCACGUUUGCACGGUACCUUGGGCUGACUUCCACGCCACAUGUAAUGAGCUGAGAAUCGUUAUAACAAAACAAAGGACACACACGACACGCGUGUACGUUUUCCACCCCAUCUGCAGCCUCCCCGCGCGUCCUCGCGCCGAGCCGAGCAAGGACGGCGCGCCCUGGUGUGGCUGCCCCAGGACGGGCUCACAGCAGGAAGAGAUGCCUGCCAGCAGAGGGGGCUGGGAGUCUGUCCAGGCUCGGGGGUCAGAAUGGGCCCAUGGAGCCAUGGAGUGUGCACAUCCCUGCCAGCCCCACGCCUGGGGCAGGUGCUCCUUCACACGGGGGUGGGUGGGGAGUGUGUGGGACGCACAUCUGGCCCCCGCAGAGCCCCAGGCAGGCCGGGCCAGGACCUUCUGCGCUUGGGCUCUCUGCACCCCUGGCCCCAAACAGCGGGAAGCAACUGUGUCCGUAACCGGCCUGAGAUCUGGACGGUGGGGCGAGGCUGCGGACGAGUGCUCUGAGGACUCUGAUGACAGCAGCUGA
rnacentral:lncRNA from 1 species